rnacentral:rRNA from 1 species
CCCUGUUGAGCUUGACUCUAGUCUGGCAUUGUGAAAAGACAUAGGAGGUGUAGAAUAGGUGGGAGCUUCGGCGCCGGUGAAAUACCACUACUCCUAUUGUUUUUUUACUUAUUCAAUGAAGCGGGGCUGGAUUUACGUCCAACUUCUGGUUUUAAGGACCUUCGCGGGCCGACGCGGGUUGCACAAAUUGGCAAGUGUUUAGUGAGCCUGGGG